AUUAAUUAAUAUAUUUAAGUCAGUAAUGUCGAUGAUUAAUAAUAUCACUGAAAAUCUCAGAAAUCCUUGUAUUCCUCGCUAGGCCAUAAAAGACAUUUAGCCGUCGGGCAGAAGCACUACUCCGCAGAUAGAUCCCAAUUCUAUAACGCGUGUUUUUGGAAGGAUGUUACGUUGCCACACCAAAAUAAUCACUUGAUAUACGCACUCAAAGCAUCUUGUCACAAUCGUCGAAUUUGCUGUCACGCACUACCGAAAAACACCGUCACUUUCGCAAACACCUUUCGUAACAAGGUCUCUCGGACGAGUACCGAAGAACGACGAGGGACGGGGGGCGCGUGCCGGUAUUGGCGUGGCGGUGAGGGAGAAGGUGUCACGGCGCGAGUUACAAGCGGCGGAUAAAAAAAUGAUAAUGGCGGAUGUACAGGCGGAUACGGGGUGGUGGUGUGACGCGACGUCUCGUAGCCAAGGGUGUAAUGGACUAUGGAUUUGGUGGAGCGCUGGUCCUGCACGUAGAUAGGCAGCGUGGAGACAAGAAUCCUGUAUCGCAAUGUAUCGCGGUGGUGGUGGCGACGACGGCGGCAGCGGCGGCGGCAGCGGUAACUGGAGGGGUGGUCCGUCAGGCUGGAGGGGCGAGUGGGUGGCAAAGGGUAGGAGUCUGGCUCGUUCCUUCCUUCGUUCGAAGUGGUGGAAGAGAGGACUCACCGUCACAAAAUGCCGAAUUGAUGGUAAUUGCUACUUAAACUUCACGUUGGGCGCCACGUAACCGGGAUAAUUCAAUAAUUUACAUCUAUUCCAUGAACACACACGUAACGCAUCGUCGUCGCUAAAAUCGCGAAUUGCGCGACCGCGCAACGAAAACCUUCUCUGCAUCGAGCAGCAUAGGAGUCACGAGAAAACGAAGAGGAAAACGGUGCUGGGAGCGGGGUGAGAAGUAAGACGAAGGUGACGGCAAAAGUACGGUAGAGGGUGGUGCGACCGUUAAUAUGGAAGACAGGAUGAAGGAGACGCGGCAGGAUGUGCUCGAGGCGCAUUUCACACAAAGUUCCUCGGAGUAGGUAGGUACAAGUUUUAGCCCGAACAACCAGCUCCUCUGCUACGCUCCUUAAUAGAUACCUACUUCGCGGGACACACCUACCGUCAGCCAGCACCUCACCCCUUCCGGACUUGCUCACUAUCCCUAAUGCCCUCUACUAGGUCCUGCAGGAUUAAGCCACCCUUGGGAUCCCUGGGUGCAGAAGCCAUCGAGGUCACCGAAAAACGGAUGACUUAAGCAUGGUUCGCCAUUCAGUCUUUCGGAUAAUGACGCUUUUGAACUAGCCCGUGUAUCGAGGGACAGUAUUUCAUAAAUUCUUUCUUAUAACUAACUUGUAUACUGUUUUCCAGAUGUUAAAGAUCAUUAUU